rnacentral:rRNA from 1 species
UAUCUCUGUAGAGUCUGCAUAUCAAUAAGCGGAGGAAAAGAAACUAACAAGGAUUCCCUUAGUAACGGCGAGUGAAGCGGGAAGAGCUCAAAUUUGAAAUCUUCAAGGUUCUACCUUGACGAAUUGUAGUUUAAAGAAGUGUUUUCUGUUAGAUGAGUAGCAAAAGUUCCUUGGAAUGGGACAUCAUAGAGGGUGAGAAUCCCGUAUUUGGUUAUUCAUUCUAGCUUUGUGAUACACUUUCAAAGAGUCGGAUUGUUUGGGAAUGCAGUCCAAAAUGGGUGGUAAAUCUCAUCUAAAGCUAAAUAUUGGCGAGAGACCGAUAGCGAACAAGUACCGUGAGGGAAAGAUGAAAAGAACUUUGAAAAGAGAGUUAAACAGUACGUGAAAUUGUCAAAAGGGAAGCGUUUGACACCAGUGUUGUUUUUCCGAAAAUCAAUUACGAAUGGCUUGAUUUUGUGUUGUAUUGACCUUAUCAGCUUUCUUCACUUUUUUCGAGUCUUUCUUAAUGCACUUUUUCGGUUAACAAGUCAACAUCAAUUUCUUUUGUUGUAAAAGAGUAUUCGGAAGGUGGCUUUCUUUUCGGAGAAAGUGUUUAUAGCCCUAUACUUCUACAAUCGGAGAGAUUGAGGUCUGCAGCGUAGAUCCUUCGGGGUUAGAUACACUUGUGCUAAGUUGUAGCUUUCUCAUAGACAACUUGUUGACUAUGUUUAGUCAUGCGGCUUACUCGCUUAGUGCUAUUUUACCUACGCUUAGGAUGUUGACUGAUAUGUAGUCGUA